GUGCUUGCUUUGGCAGCACAUACACUAAAACUGGAACAAUACAGUAACCAUUCUGGCCCCUGUGCAAGGAUGACACACAAAUUCCUAAAGCAUUUCAUAUUUUU
ensembl:snRNA U6 U6 spliceosomal RNA